CACAAUAUGGCCAGACCAGGCUCAACUCAGUCAACAACAAAAACACAACAACUACAUUACAAUACCAAACGACCCCUUAAACAUGAGAGAGGGUUUUCUCCUUAGAGAAACCCUAGCCGCCCUUCGUUUACUCUCUCUCUCAUCGCAUCAUCUGCUGGAAAUGGCAAGUUUUAUGGGCUGGUGAUGCUCCUGUGGACCUGGUAUGGUUGAAAAUGGCAAGAGCAUUUAUUGCUCUGCCAUUUUUUAACCAAAACCACCGCAUAUCAACCCCUUAGCAAGCCCUCACCUGUUGGGCCAUGGCGCAGGUCAAUUCUUUUACGGCACAAGCAGUCUAGACUGACGAAAGGGAAGCUAGCAUUAUGAGAUCGCGUUGAAGGCCCAACACUAUGGGUGAAAAUGGCUAACUAGGGGUUUGGUACACCCCUAACCCACCCCUCUCUUUUAUUCAUGAUAUUUUCAUUUGAAUGUCGUAUUUGUAUAACUUGUAAGAAUUCACAUUAGAUAUUGGAAGCUUUAUUUUUAGACCUUGUCAUCUUAUGACAACGGUA